GGUUACUAAAAAAGAACCGUGAGGACGGCAAAAACGUCUCUGCCAGCGGGAACACCGGUGUAGAAGAGGAAAAUGGCGAAACGGGAAAAGUCACAUGACCCGCCAUCCCGGAAGGAUCCAAUUCUACUGGAGCAGCAAAUGCCUCACUGGAAAGGGAUUCUCUGGUAGCAGUUUUUACCUGGAAAUCGAGGGAGGAGAUGUUGACAUCUUGGCCUGUCUGCCUCAGCAGGUUCUCGUCAUGGGAAACGACCACAUACUCAUCGCGGGUCAGGUGACAGUCCAUCUCCAGCAUCUCCGUGCCCUGCAUCACCGCGCUGGUCAAGAUAAAUUCACAUCAAAAAUGACAAUCUCUCAGUGUUUGCUUGUGUAUUCAGACAGAUCCUUUCCACUAUAUUUUAGAGAAGAAAAAACAACUCAAAACGCUUUAUGACAAAUGAUUGUACCAAGAGGAAAAUAUCUGUUUUUGUACAGAAUGUGCACAGCUAAUAUAUCCAGCACAUCUACCUAACAGAAAGUUGUAUUAUUUCUCAUUUAGCUAAAAAUAGGGUAGACAUCUUUUGGUUUGUCCAUCCAUCUUCUAAACUCACCGAGUCCCUUUCCAGGGGGUGCUGGAGCAAACCCAGCAACUAUUGUCCACCCUGAAGAUGUGUUUUCUGAGGCCUUCUAUCUCAUUUGAAUGUUUAAAUUUUCCUUAAAGACCAAUUUUAUAGAACUUGGAAGCAUGUUUUCUGCCCUGCAGUUCAUCAUCACUCCUCUAGGGGCAGUAGAAGGGAAUUUCCUGCUCAUUUCAAAAUGGCUGCCUCCAUAAAAUCUGGAAAAAGCAGGAAAAUGUUUUACUGAUUUUCACAACCUUAUGGUUAGAAUAAUUUAUCUACUGUUAUCCGUUUCUAUCAAUGACUACUUGCAGUAUUGAAAUAAAGUAAAAUGUGUUGAUAAAUAUAUAUUUUUUACAAUAUUACACCAUGUUAAAAAUGUGUUCCAAAUUUCUGACAGUGAGUAAAAAUUAGGUGUUUUUUCCUGAACACUCAUAUAAAUAUUUUUCUAUAUUAAACCAACAUGGUUGUGAACAUAAACUUACCAAAAUGUAUCACAAAUGAUACUAUCUAUAUCCCAAAAAAUCAUAUUGCAUUUUUUUUUUUUUUUUUUGCAAAUUUCAUUUUUAAUCAAUUAUCUGUCAGUUCUUUGAUGUAGUAGGUUUAACGUGUGAAACAUGUUUUUGGCUGGAAAAAAAAUCAUGCCUCCACAAAGAGAACAUCCAAAAAGGUCCCAGCUGGGAUCUGAACUAGGACCUUCUCAUUGUGAGGCAAGAGCGCCGGCUAACCGUCUUGAGUUUUUUUUUUAAUGGUUGCUUCUUUUUGCAACUGUAGUUGCUUGUGCAAUAUUUUACCAACCUGUUUAGAAACCGUCAGUUUUUCUAGCUGCUCUUCAACAAGUCUACUUUAACUUCUAGCACUUACUUUUCAAACGCCUCUAUGGUGCUCUCUAUCCGCUCUCCACAUCCUGGAACAAACAGAGGCUUUCAUAAAGUGUGACAUUAAAUACCAUAACACUUUAUUUUAAUGGUUACUUGCAGGAAUAAAUAUUUUUUUUCUUUUUGUGUUGAGCUGCUUUACUCUUUUUGGAAAAUUCGAUCAUUUUAUGACAAUGAACAUGUUUACAUAAAGGCUCCAGAAAAAUAUUGUAAUAAUUUGAAUUUGCAACUGUUAAAAAAAUGUCAAAAAUAAGAAUUUUGUUUCAAAUUAAGAAGUAUUUAUUAAAAGUAGAUAACAGCUGCCUAAACCUCUGUAUCAUCAUUGCAAUUCCUGCCUCUUACCUCCUCUGUGUGAGAUGUGAGUGCAGUAGAAAGCGCUGCGUUUCUUUUUGUGCAGAAUGUGUGGGUUCUUCAGCAGGUACAGCGAGGUGAAGGUAUAUCCUCCCAACACCGGGAGGAGAACAUAUAGAAGACUCAUCCUGUCCUGCAAUCAAAUCCAGGGAAUCUCUUACAGAGUCUGCACGGUGUCACAGGUGAGGUGAGUCAGAGUCGAACAAGCUCUGUGCUGAAGAAAAAAAAAGAAAAAUGAAAAUUAUGGGCUGACAGAAGGAAAAAAGAAACUUGCCACGCCUUUCCUUACCUUAAAAAAGUGUCUCUUGGUCAAGUUUCAUUAAAAAACAACAGGAUCUGCCAUGAAAAGUUAAUAAAGCACCAGCUCAUAACCUCAUUUUGCUCCCUUCCCUGGCCUCUCUCGUCAAUGACAGCUCAACGCUCCGUUACAACUGCUAUUCUGUUUCUAGAGUGAAUGUCACUGUGUCAUACCUGAGUGCUGAAUCUUUGCCAAUAAAUUUCCAGGAAUUCUUCAAUAAAUUAUUUUUUAGAUGCACUGCAGCCACGAUCCUAUAUGGUUUGUUAUCCUUGUCAGAUUAUCAAGGUAAGUAACCCAAUUGAGCUCUUAGUUGGCAACAGGAUCCUUCCAAGGGUGUGAAGCAGGUUUCUUGGCAAGUAUUUGACAAAAGGGAUGUGGCAUGUGAGAUUUUUUUUUUUUGAUUCCCCUUUACCAUGUGAGAAAUACAGAAAGGUGAGUUGUGGCUUGCUCAACUUUUACUACAGUCAGCAGGUUAGAUUCUAUUGUCGAGGUUAAAAAGCACAGCUGGGUGUGUGACAAAGGCGGAGUUCUCUCUGAAAUGGUUCAAACCCCAUUUCUAGCUGAACAGACAAAUCCAUUUACAGAAAAAAAAAUGUCCUGCAUGCACAGCUGUCCUCCAAAUGCAGUCUGGACACAUGCAGCAUGUCCCAGAAGCAUUUCUGCUUCAAGUUAAACGGAAACCGUGGUGUUGCAAAACUCUGGGAGUGCCUUACAGCCACGAACAGACAUGCUGAAGGGAAGACAGCAUAGCAGGAAAAGCCGGUUAGCUGAUCAUUACUCAAAGUUCAGAUAUGAGGCAACUUCCAAGUUAUUUGCCCUUCCCUAAAGAUAAAAAAGUGUAUCUUAAAUGUUCUAUUAACCAAAUAAAGGCAUGAAAUCAGAGUAGUUUUUUUUGUAUGUUUUCCAUCUUUAUAAGACCACACAUGAUAGCAAUAUCUUGUCAAGCACAUUAAUAAUUCGAGAUUUUCAAAAUAAAAGUUGAUCUCAAUAAAAAUAUAUAUACUCAAAAAUGAUUUAAAAAGUUCUGUCCAUACAUUUCACAUUAAGGACAAAAUGGAAAUUAGAAGCUAAAUUAAAGUCACAUGUGGCCCUGAGGUUCCAUGUGACUCUUUGACCCCUCUGUUGUGGAUCUCUGGUUAAGAAAAAAAAAUAAAUGUUUUUAAUAACAAUUUAAAAAAAAGUAACAGAUUUUUCACUACAUCAGCGAAACAAAACAGAUGAGUGAAACUUGAUUCAGCUAACAAGGCUGACUACAGUACCCAUAAGCUAUCAAGCAGUGCAACUUCCUAGUUUGCCAAAGUUGUACUAAAGCAGGUCAGCCAGUUUAAGGUACACCGGAUUAUAAAGCAGGUUCAAGGAUUUUAAGUUAUGGAUCAAAAAGUACAGUAAUGAUCACUGAAUUAGGUUAGAUUUAUGAAUUUCUGGCUGAGAUGCACCACAAAUAGUAAACUAUGUAUUCUUUUUAAUCACUGCUGAAGUCACACUACCUACUUCUACAUUUGUUGCAUUGAAAUUCAUCCUAAAUGGGGAAGGAUGUCUAAUUUUGAAAGGAAGCCAUGUAAACAGCUCAAAAGUUAGGAAGAAUUCAAUAUUAUGAAGGAAAAAAAAAACCACUUUUUCUCCAUUUUAUUUAUGCUUAAAAAUGUAAUUUACAUUGAUCCUAAUAGUAACAAUAACAUAUGAACAACUCAGUGUCCUUUUAUCUAAAAAUACUGCAACUCCUUCUGGGUUUGCCUCUUUAAGUGUGGAAAGGUGCAGAUCCUGCAAUAGUUAAAGGACUCAAACUAAUAAAACCUCAAGGAGCCAGCAGAUUUUGUUAAUGUUUUACAUGCAUUUAAAAAAGUCAAAAUAUAAUUUGAUAUAUUUAACUGUAAAAUAUUAUUUCAGUUACUGCCCAAAAAAACAACAAAAAAACAGCACAGCCACUACACAGUAUCAGGAAAUUUUUAUUAUAUUUAUAUAAUUCCGUUUUUGUUAAUCAUUUUAUUCAUAAUACCCAUAGAAUAUACAGACUAUAACCC